rnacentral:rRNA from 1 species
UACGUAGGGUGCGAGCGUUAAUCGGAAUUACUGGGCGUAAAGCGUGCGCAGGCGGUUCGUUGUGUCGGCGGUGAAAGCCCCGGGCUCAACCUGGGAAUGGCCGUUGAGACUGGCGAACUGGAGUGUGGCAGAGGGGGGUGGAAUUCCGCGUGUAGCAGUGAAAUGCGUAGAGAUGCGGAGGAACACCGAUGGCGAAGGCAGCCCCCUGGGCUGACACUGACGCUCAGGCACGAAAGCGUGGGGAGCAAACAGG